CAGUACGGGGAGAAUUUGAUAGAGGUUAUAUAGUUUGAAGCGAGACUGGGUUUGCAUGUCGUGGAAUAUGCAAUUGCUAUCACUGUAGAAAAUACAAAGGGUGGAACCCUGUUGGAAUAGACUUCAAGAAGGCACAUAAGCUUGGAUUCAAAUCUGUUGCGCAUUACCUCAUUCACACACGUCGCGGGGGAGCAAUUGACGAUGCUAAAACUCCAUCCGGUGAUGAAAACGACGGACCAUCUGAUGAUAGUGGAGAUGAGCAUGAUGAAGACUAUGAGAAGGGAUGCAUGGUUGAUUGUAAUUCCAAUUUAUUCAGAGAUAUGGUUGGAACAGCAGUCCGCCAAUCUGUUGAUGUAUUUCCGAGUGUUGCACGCCGUGGCCAUCUCCCUCCAGAUAUAUAAACUGCGCAGCUCUUCCAAUGUUAGCUGCAGCCCCAACCAAAUCUGCCGGAAAUGGACAACCGGCCGCGGUGACCGUGUUCAUCUCCUUCCACGCCUCCCUUAUCAGAAACCUCAGGUGUUCUUGCGCCUCUUUCUCCGAAGCAUUUGUGUCCUUCAUGUAACACUGGAUUGCUUUCGGCACGUCGCCCCUCUUAUACUACUUGUUAUCAAUUAAUGUUGUUAAUUAGGUACCUUACCUGUGUAGUCCCAAGAUCAUCAGCAAACCUUAGAAUCAUUCCUGAUAGGUUAAGUAUGUUAUGAUAUUCGUACAAGCUCUCGAUGACCUUUUUGUUAGUACUCGAGUUUGCUAAUGUGAAAUAAAUUUGGGAUAUUAUUGUAGGAGACGAUAUUGAAACUUUGGCGUUGUUCAGAUAUUCUUCCAAGCUUGGUGUGUAUCCACUAUA